CACCGUGAGGUAAAAUCUGAAGGAAGUCGUUGGCAAAUCUCUGGUCCGACGGACAGAAACCGCAUACAAGGCUAGGCUACGAGAGAUAAGUUGGCAUAAAGCAACGAAGUCUAAUAACUACCACAUUUGUGGUAGCAGAGUAAAUGCGGUGGAUGAAUAAAUUAAAGAU
rnacentral:ncRNA from 1 species